GACGAACGCUGGCGGCGUGCUUAACGCAUGCAAGUCGAGCGGUAAGGCUCCUUCGGGAGUACACGAGCGGCGAACGGGUGAGUAACACGUGAGUAAUCUGCCCUUCACUUCGGGAUAACCACCGGAAACGGUGGCUAAUACCGAAUACGACCAGUCUUCGCAUGAGGUGCUGGUGGAAAGUCUUUUCGGUGAAGGAUGUGCUCGCGGCCUAUCAGCUUGUUGGUGGGGUAAUGGCCUACCAAGGCUUCGACGGGUAGCCGGCCUGAGAGGGUGACCGGCCACACUGGGACUGAGACACGGCCCAGACUCCUACGGGAGGCAGCAGUGGGGAAUAUUGGACAAUGGGCGAAAGCCUGAUCCAGCAACGCCGCGUGAGGGAUGACGGCCUUCGGGUUGUAAACCUCUUUCAGUACCGACGAAGCGCCCUGUCGGGUGGUGACGGUAGGUACAGAAGAAGGACCGGCCAACUACGUG
rnacentral:rRNA from 1 species